rnacentral:piRNA from 1 species
UGAUUUGGAAGCUGAAAUGGACCUUGGCUA